AUCAUAAGGAUGGUGCCAUUUGACAUUCGGUCAAGGGAUGGAGCAGGAAGGCUUGAGAUACACAACCCAUAUCUUUAAGGCACUUUCCAUCUGGUAGAGAAACGGAAAUGUAUGCACAUAGCGGCACAUGUGAUGGCAACAGAACCCAGGGCCUGUACCAGGCCUACUAAGGAGUGAGCUGAUGUGGCUGAGAGUUUUGGAAUGUGAGGCUGGGAUGACAAGCCUGGGGCCUGGCUCUUCUGUGCUCAGUGAGGACUGCUCCAGCCUCAGCCCCAACUCCCAGCAAAGCCCAGUUUACAGAGGAUGAAACUGAGGCACAGAGAAGUCAAGCAUCUUGUGCAGGGCCACGCAGCCUGCUCCAGAGCCGGGCUCUGACCCUCCACAAGAGCCAUCACUAAAGUUCCACUUACCACUGCACCUUCAAUCUCUUCCUCUCUCCAUCCCUCCCACAUGUUCACAGACAAAAUCUUCUUCCUUAUUUAAUAAAACAAUAUAAUGACCAGCCUGGCAAA
rnacentral:lncRNA from 1 species